GACGAACGCUGGCGGCGUGCCUAACACAUGCAAGUCGAGCGAAUGAAGUUCCUUCGGGAAUGGAUUUAGCGGCGGACGGGUGAGUAACACGUGGGCAACCUGCCUCAUAGAGGGGAAUAGCCUUCCGAAAGGGAGAUUAAUACCGCAUAAGAUUGUAGUACCGCAUGGUAUAGCAAUUAAAGGAGCAAUCCGCUAUGAGAUGGGCCCGCGGCGCAUUAGCUAGUUGGUGAGGUAACGGCUCACCAAGGCGACGAUGCGUAGCCGACCUGAGAGGGUGAUCGGCCACAUUGGGACUGAGACACGGCCCAGACUCCUACGGGAGGCAGCAGUGGGGAAUAUUGCACAAUGGGGGAAACCCUGAUGCAGCAACGCCGCGUGAGUGAUGACGGCCUUCGGGUUGUAAAGCUCUGUCUUCAGGGACGAUAAUGACGGUACCUGAGGAGGAAGCCACGGCUAACUACGUGCCAGCCGCCGCGGUAA
rnacentral:rRNA from 1 species